UUGAGGUGAGAGAUAGAGAAAGUAUGUCAGGUUGAAUCAAAGGAACGACGUUAGUUCAAGUGGUACAUGUUUAAUUCCGUUUGAUUCCCCUUAAACAAUGUUUCAGGUUUGAGUCUUGUGCAUGAGAAAAUGUCUGCUGGGAGAGUUAGCCUCACCUACCUAUAAAUGUUCCUGGCUAUGGAUAAGAUUGCUUCCAAUGCGAUGAUACCUAUAAGAAACCCAAAAAAAAAAGGAAACACCUCUUGCAAUGCGAAGGCGCUUCAGGAAAUCGUCUAUUAAUAGAAGAUCUGAGGUGGAUGAUUAAAUCAAAUAUAUGUUUGAAUUUGAGAUUUAGAGCUCUUAAGGUUUAGCAUAAGUUGUUCAUCGAAACUUCAAAAGUUUAGUGUUUU
rnacentral:lncRNA from 1 species